UACGUAGGAGGCGAGCGUUGUCCGGAUUUACUGGGCGUAAAGGGCGAGUAGGCGGCCUGCCAAGUCUCAUGUGAAAUCUUCUGGCUCAACUGGAAGGGGUCAUGGGAUACUGGUAGGCUCGAGGGUAACAGAGGAAAGCGGAAUUCCCGGAGUAGCGGUGAAAUGCGUAGAUACCGGGAGGAACACCAGAGGCGAAAGCGGCUUUCUGGGUUAUACCUGACGCUGAGGCGCGAAAGCAUGGGGAGCAAACCGG
rnacentral:rRNA from 1 species